UCCGUGGGACAAUAAUCGGGGCCUCUGU
rnacentral:piRNA from 1 species